AUUGAACGCUGGCGGCAUGCCUAACACAUGCAAGUCGAACGGGGCAGCAAUGCCUAGUGGCGGACGGGUGAGGAAUACGUAGGAAUUUGCCCUUAAGUGGGGGAUAACCCGGGGAAACCCGGACUAAUACCGCAUGAUCUCGUGAGAGCAAAGCAGGGGACCGCAAGGCCUUGCGCUUUUGGAGAAGCCUACGUCGGAUUAGCUAGUUGGUGGGGUAAUGGCCCACCAAGGCUACGAUCCGUAACUGGUCUGAGAGGAUGAUCAGUCACACCGGAACUGAGACACGGUCCGGACUCCUACGGGAGGCAGCAGUGGGGAAUAUUGGACAAUGGGCGAAAGCCUGAUCCAGCAAUGCCGCGUGUGUGAAGAAGGCCUUCGGGUUGUAAAGCACUUUAGGCUGGAAAGAAAAAGCUUUGGCUAAUAUCCAAAGCCUUGACGGUACCAGCAGAAUAAGCACCGGCUAACUCUGUGCCAGCCGCCGCAGUAAAAC
rnacentral:rRNA from 1 species